GUACAGGUGACCCAGUCCAGGAAAUAACUGAGACUGAAGCUGAUUAACAUCAGUUCAGGGACCCUGCAGGGUGAUUUCAGAGAAACCACUUGACCAGCAUCGGGAGAUGAUGCAGCCCAAUUACUGCUUGGACACUCAGCCCCGGCAGUAGGAGGGCUGAGCCUGACUCAUGCCGGUGACGCAGGCCCUGUAACGCCGGCCCUGUAACUCCUGGAGAUCCAGAGGAUUGAGUCGCGAGGGAGGGACAGAUGGCACUUUUCCCGUGUGGAGUCUGGGUCCCGUGUGCACAUGGAGCGGCGGCGUCGCCCAUGCCUGCUGACUGAGCUCCACGGCCAGAGGGACAGAGCGGCCUGUCUGCCAAGGAAAACGGAAGCUAGACCAUGAGGACGGAGUGUUUCCAGAGCCCGGAUGAACAUUUCCUCAGCGUUGUGGAAAAUUCGCGGUUGAAACUCCGGACUCAGAGCCGGUUGGCCUCGGCUGUCCCUCAGCCUCCUCGUCCUGGCUGGAGGAUGGAGCAGCUUCCUGCGUCUCGGACCCUCAGGUUCCUCACCUGUGAAAUGGGGAUGAGAACAGCACCUGCCACUUCCGGCUCUUUUUAAAAAACAAUUUCAAAAGAGAUGAGGCCUCACCAUGUUGCCCGGGCUGGUGUCUGACUCAUGGGCUCAAGCGAUCCUGCCCCCUUGCCUCCCAGAGUGCUGGGAUUACAGGCUUGAGCCACCACGCCCAGCCCCUCUUCUGGCUCUCAUGAGGGUUGAGUGAGCCCGUACUCCUGAAGAACACAGAUUUUAAGCUUCAUCAUCAUCAUCAUCAUCAUCACUUUGCUAUGCAAAUAAGACCCCAUCCUGCAUGCAGGUCAUUUCCUGCCCCUGGUGGCGUCUGAGUUUUCAAUCCCUGUGAGUGGGCAUCGGGCUCAGAGCUUUGGACGGAUGAGGCCUUAGCUAGUUGUGAAUAACGUCAUUCUGUCUUCAUUUCACGUUCAAAGCACCUUCUGUUUACGGUCGGGGAGAAUGAUUUUCUGCUUAUGGUAGUGACAUGAUGUGUCCUCUUUAGAGGAAUUUAGUGAAGUGAAAGUGAGAUGAAUUAAAGAAACAUGUGGACUGA